CUGGAGCUUCAUGAUCCUUGAGGUCCCUUCCAACCCAAGCCAUUCUGUCAUUCUGUGAUUCUAUGAUUCUAUGAUUUGCCCUUGGUGAAGCCAUCCUGGUUCUUCCAUAUCACCACCCUGCCUUGCAUGUGCCAUGGCAUCGCUUCCAGGAGGCUCUGCUCCAUGUUCUUCCCAGCACAGAGGUGAGACUGACAGGAUGACCACGGAUACUGCAGAUCUCCAGAACAGACCACCUCACCCUGACAAACAAAUGCACGUUCCUCCGUAAUUUUCCAACAGGAUUUGCAGUGGGUGGGCACAGGCUGGAGAGCUUGGCAGCAUUUCCAGUAGGGUUGUUUGCUGCAGAAAACACUUAUUUUUAUCCAUGUAUGGAAUAAUUGUCUCCUGGUGUCUGUGAUGAAAUCUGUGAUUUGUGCAGCCACGCUCCCUCUCUCUACAAGCUCUGCACCAACACUCUCUGUACACCCCAAAGCAAGACACCAACGCUGGCUUUAACCAUCCUCCUCUCCAUCCAUAUAAAUCCCUUUCUGUAAACCUACCCCCGGCUCUUCUCAGCCAGAAGAGCAUGUCGUGGAGGGCAGGUCCUACUUCGGCUGGUUGGUUGGUUGGUAGCCUUUUCCCACACUGGUCAGCAACUCCCAGACCAGAGAACCUUAUCUCUGUACCUCCCUGUCCAAAAGGAGAGCCUACGCUGACACCCCCACCCCUCCGACGUGUCCUCAGUGCCCUCUGAUGCGUCCCUGAGGCACAGGAGGCGGCGGAUGGAAUGUUUUCCUCCUCACAGUGCCCAGUCUCAAUCUGAUGCUGCUGUGAGUCACUGCAGGGAGGUGCAGGUGAGGGAGGGGAGGAUGUCCAGCUUCAUCAGGAGCGGCGAUGAUGGUGAUGAUGGUGCAAACGCCAGGGACAGAAGAUCUGUCUGAAGAUGAAUUCCUAUUAAUGAAGCCCCUUGGGGUGUCAAGGGCACACCACCACCACCUGGAGUCGCAGGGACCAUGGACCAGAGGUGUCACCCCAUGAGGAUGUUUCCUGGCCUUGCUCCACCUGAACCCCUUCAGAUGGCCCCGAGCUCCUCAUUGGAGAGGAGUGACAUCAACCAUAGCACCUGGCAUCAUUGGAGAGGUGUGCCACUAACCAUAACCCUUGGCUGCCCUCACAGACCUGUCCUGGGACACACUAAGGAGCAUCUCCUGCUUGCUCCAAAGCCAAUUCUUCUUUCAGGUUCUCUCUCUGGCUAAGACCAGUAACAGAACGAGGAGUGAGGUGGAUUUUCACCCUCAUUUCCAGCUUUCACGGGAUAAAUUUGCAGGUCAAGAAGAGCUGGAGGAACCACCCGGGAGCUGUCGGUCUCAGGGUCUCUGUUAGGACCUGCCCUAACAAGAAAUGAAUUUUCUCCUCUUGCUCAGAGCAGAGGCCAAGCAGGGAGUGAGGCCAGAAAAACAAAGGGUCACGCUGGAGUUUCUUUUUUUUUUUUCCUUCACUUUAACUCCGAAAUAAAAAUACAGCUCAAGCUUGUUUUGGGAUUAACGAGAAAAAAAAAAACCCUCUUGAUGGGAACCAUCUGUGGCUGGGAGAUGCCGGCUGCUCUCUGCUUCCCACCCAGCAUGCAGAUGCUGUUAUAUGGGGUGUGUUCUCCCCCCCCCCAGAUAUUAUUCCUCUCACCCCAGUGCUGCUCAGAGCAAUCCCAAGUAUUUAAGGAGGCUUUUCUCUGGAUGGGCCCAGCGUUGCAAAGCAGCAGCAGCUCAUUACUCCCAUGUAACAUAAUAUUUGCUUUCCUCAUUACAGCAGCACUGCCCAGCACAGCUUGGUGGUGGCUGCUGGUCUUGCUAAGUGCAAAUACUGGAAGAGUCUUUGUUGUAACCUUUCCACCCCAG
ensembl:lncRNA